ensembl:lncRNA
AUGGUCUCAGAAGAGGAGGCUAGGAAAAUGAUCCAGGAUUUAACUGCACUUUGUCAGAAAGGAGGAUUCACUCUGUCAAAGUGGGUCAGCAAUAGUCGUGCAGUGUUGCGCUCUGUCAGCGAAGGCCACAGAGCAAAAGACAUGAUGGAGCUGGAUUUGGAUACAGAUCAACUUCCUGUUGAAUGUACAUUAGGACUACAGUGGUACGUUGAGACUGACCAAUUUGGAUUUAAGGCCUCAGCACAAGAGCAACCACAGACGAGAAGAGGAAUUCUUUCGGUGGUCAGCUCCCUCUAUGACCCAUUGGGCUUCCUUGCUCCAUUCAGAAUGAUGGCUAAGUUGUUACUGCAGGAACUCUGUAAAAGAAACUUUGGAUGGGAUGAAGAUAUUCCCCAUGUUCUCGCUAAGCAAUGGGCUGGUUGGUUGGAAGAUCUCCACAAGGUGGCAAAGUUCAAGAUUGAUCGUUGCAUUAAGCCUAAUGACUUUGGCAACCCUGUUGGGUAUGGAGCUGUCUCUUACUUAAGACUGGAAAGGGAUAAUAAAGUGCAUGUUGCAUUUAUGAUGGGGAAGGCCAGAGUUGCUCCGCUGAAGCAGACAACAAUUCCUCGCCUGGAGCUAACAGCUGCAGUCCUCGCUGUUAGAGUAGACCGCAUGCUACAGAAGGAGUUGCAACUUAGGCUGGAGAAGUCAGUUUUCUGGACUGACAGCACAACAGUCCUUAAAUAUAUAUCAAAUGAAAGCCGGCGAUUCUAUACCUUUGUGGCCAACAGAAUUGCAGUCAUCAGAGAGGCAACUGAUGUUGAUCAGUGGAGAUAUGUGGGGACAAAGGAAAACCCAGCAGAUGAAGCGUCAAGAGGAAUGAGGGCAGAAAAUCUUCUGAACAGAAGGAGAUGGAUGAUGGGACCUGAUUUCCUUUAUAAGUCCAAGAAUGGGUGGCCUAAAUUAGAUGUAGAUCUUCAGGUGAUUCCUGGUGCUGACCCUGAGAUCAAAAGGGACUUGACAGUGAAUGCUGUUGUUAAAGACACAGACAAUGCUAUGAACUACCUGAUUCAUUACUUUUCAUCUUGGAAGAGAUUGCAGGUAGCUGUAGCUUGGCUUCUUAAGAUCAAGGAUACUCUUGUGUUAUUGGGACAUAGGAGAAAGGAGCUUUAUGCCUCUGCUGACCUCAGUAUGGACAUUACAGACUGUCAUCAACAGGUGGAAAGCCAAAUGCAGAGCUUUAAGGCUACACUCAAAGGACAGAGUCUGACACCUCAAGAUGUGACCAGGGCAGAGCUGUCAAUCAUCCGGUAUGUACAACAUCAACGGUUUAAGGAUGAAAUUACCUCGCUGCAGAGUGGUGUGAAAUCCAUAUCCAAGGACAGUCCACUGUACAGAUUAGACCCAGUGAUGGAUGGUGAGAUUCUCAGAGUGGGUGGUUGGUUAAGCAAAGCCUCACUGCCAGUGGAAUCUAAGCGUCCUGUUAUUCUGGCAAAAGAUCUGCAUGUAUCAACACUAAUUCUGCUCCACAUUCAUCAGCAGAUAGGUCAUGCUGGAAGAAAUUAUAUGUUGUCCAGUUUAAUGCGUAAGUAUUGGAUUAUAAAUGCAAACUCUGCUGCCAGAAAGGUCAUGUCAGAUUGUGUUGUUUGCAGACGCAACAGAGGAAGACUCCUUGAACAAAAAAUGGCGGACUUACCUGCUGAAAGAGUGUUGCCUGAUGAUGCCCCUUUCACUCAUGUUGGCAUCGAUUAUUUUGGCCCCAUUGAAGUUAAAAGAAGCAGAGGUCUUCUCAAAAGAUACGGAGUGCUCUUCACCUGCAUGAACAGUCGUGCUGUACACUUGGAAGUAGCAUACACAUUGGAUACAGACUCCUGUAUAAAUUCAGUGAGAAGGUUCAUCUGCAGACGAGGCCCAGUUUCAACUCUCAGGUUUGAUAAUGGAACUAACUUUGUUGGAGCCAGCCGUGAGCUCAAGGAGAGUCUGACUGCUCUGAAUCAUGGUAAAAUUCAAAGAGCCUUUCUUCAGGAUGGCAUAGAAUGGAGAUUUAACACUCCAUUAGCUUCCUAUCAGGGUGGUGUUUGGGAGCGCUUGAUUCGCUCAGUGAAGAGUCUUCUUACCUCAGUCCUUAAACAGCAUACCCUGGACGAUGAAGCACUCCAAACAAUUUUUUGCGAAGUUGAAGCAAUAUUGAAUGAUAGGCCUAUUACAAGGGCCUCAUAUGAUUCAAAUGACCUGGAAGCUUUGACGCCGAAUCACAUUCUGUUGUUGAAAGGUAAACCAAUUAUGCCACCAGAAUUGUUUGACAGAAAUGAUCUGUAUGUCAGAAAAAGAUGUAAGCAGAUACAGUACAUGGCGGAACUCUUCUGGAAGAGAUGGAUUUCUGAGUACCUGCCAUUGAUGCAACAGAGACAAAAAUGGACCGCACUAAGAAGAACCCUUACACCUGGAGAUGUUGUUCUUGUGGCAGAUGCUACAGUUUCAAGAGGAUCUUGGAUGAUGGGGAAAGUUUUGGAUGUCAGAUCAGAUGUGAAUGGGGUUGUGCACUCUGUCCGCCUCCAAACGAAGACCAGCAUCUUAGAGAUGCCUGUGAUGAAGCUGUGCCUGCUGCUGGAGGCGGCAGUGUGAUCACAUGAACUGACUCUCUCUUUCU